UGGGGGAAUUUUGGACAAUGGGCGAAAGCCUGAUCCAGCAAUGCCGCGUGUGUGAAGAAGGCCUUCGGGUUGUAAAGCACUUUUGUCCGGAAAGAAAUCCUUGGCUCUAAUACAGUCGGGGGAUGACGGUACCGGAAGAAUAAGCACCGGCUAACUACGUGCCAGCAGCCGCGGUAAUACGUAGGGUGCAAGCGUUAAUCGGAAUUACUGGGCGUAAAGCGUGCGCAGGCGGUUUGCUAAGACCGAUGUGAAAUCCCCGGGCUCAACCUGGGAACUGCAUUGGUGACUGGCAGGCUAGAGUAUGGCAGAGGGGGGUAGAAUUCCACGUGUAGCAGUGAAAUGCGUAGAGAUGUGGAGGAAUACCGAUGGCGAAGGCAGCCCCCUGGGCCAAUACUGACGCUCAUGCACGAAAAGCGUGGGGAGCAAACAGGAUUAGAUACCCUGGUAGUCCACGCCCUAAAACGAUGUCAACUAGUUGUUGGGGAUUCAUUUCCUUAGUAACGUAGCUAACGCGUGAAGUUGACCGCCUGGGGAGUACGGUCGCAAGAUUAAAACUUAAAUAAAUUGACGGGGUCAUAGCUGUUUCCU
rnacentral:rRNA from 1 species